UACCAGUGUUUUUGUUUCUUUUUUUCCCCCUGCUCAAGGGUUUACACUCAAAGGAAUUCGUUUUCAUGUUGUGUGUUGUCUGUGCGAAAAUACCCUGGGGCUCUUUAUGUCAACGUCUGAGGAUUUAAAAAAAAAAGCAGGAGUGACUAAUCAGGCCACAUGGGGGCUCCAGAGAUAGAAGAACUCUGAGGGAUACCUCCUCUGGGAUUCAAACACACACAGGAAAGAGCAGACCUCCACCAAGGCAGAAUCAAACUUUAAAUUGAGAUCCAUUCCAAACGUGUACACCUCUUAUAUUCCUCACGUCUCGAGAAUGUCUACUUUUCAGGUGACAUUCUUCCAUUUGGUCUUACACCUUUGAUUGCUGCAGCGACAUCAACACCCCCAAAUCAUCAAUUGCGAAUUGAAGGUGCCCAAGAAUGUCUGCUCUAUUACACUGUCCCUGAUUAAAAUGGUAGAAAGUCUCAUGCCAACCUCCCAACCAGACCAAAAAUGUCACAAAAGCCAAACGACUGGGAUUACCUCAUCUUGCCAAGCUGUUUCCCAAAACACUUCCAGCCAUUAGUGAGUGUUAAAAGAGUGAGAGUUAAAAGAAAGAAACGAAUCUGCACACGCUGAUCUUGGUGGCUCACCAGUUCCUUCUGCGCGAAGCAUUUUCGUGACGCAUUUUUUUAUUACAACAGGCUAAUUCAACUGAAUGAUUUGUAUUUAUUUAUUUAUUUCGACCAAAAUCAUCCGGACUUUCAUCUUGAGGCAACUUAAUGCUGCACCGUACAAGCGUUAGACGACCAGCUUUGUAUGUUUGGGGAGCAGCAAAGUCUAUCCCGUGUUGUUAUUGGAAGUUACGGAGUAUGUUCACCGCAUGUACAUUUGUAUUUCUGGUGCAUUUUCCUUUUGUGAAAUUAGGCCUCGAAACACAUAGCCAAAAAAAAAAAAAAAAAA